CCCAAUGGCGCUGCUGCUGCUGUGCUGUUCAGAUUUAAUUCCGUUGGCAAACCCGCGACUGCUCCAUUCAAGACAUUCCAGCAAAAACAGAACCGGACUCAGACUGCCAUCUGGCAAAUUCCGUGCAUUCAGACAGAGAAUCAGAGAGAAGUGUUGUGUGAAUGAAAGAAGAUCAAGACAGGGCGCAGGAAGACAAAGGAAUUGGGAAAAGAAUCGAAAAAAUUCAAAACCGGUUGACUCGUCAGAUCACAUAGCUGUUGCCAGCUGAAAUGUCGAAAUUAGCAGGAUAGACAAGGCUAAUAUUUGUGUAAACUUUGUAAGAAAUGGAAAUGCCUGGAAGCACAAGUGGAAGAAAUAACUCCAUGGGGGCUAACUUCAACUCAAAUUAAAUACAACUCAAAAACAGGAAAAUAAGGUGACUGAAGUGAAGCAAGGGUUGAGCACCAGAGAAGACAGAUUUAAAGCGAUUGGCAAAAGAAUCAAAGAUAAAGAAGUGCAGAUGCUGGAAACCUGUACCAAACAAAAAUAAAUUGUUGGAGAAACUCAAGGUCUGGCAGCAUCUAUGGAAAGAAAACAGAGUUAAUAUUGAUGAUAACAAAGUGUGAAGCUGGAUCAACACAGCAGGCCAAGCAGCAUCUCAGGAGCACAAAAGCUGACGUUUCGGGCCUAGACCCCUCCAGUAACCCUUCCUCAGAACUUGUUUUUUUAAAUAAACAUGUCUGUACACACGAACAUACCUGCUUGACAUUAUAUCCGGCUUUAGCGCUAGUUUCAAUAUACAUUACAUUCAGUUCCCUGGCUUUCCGCUCUCCUUCCUCCAUCGAAACC